GAACGCUGGCGGCGUGCUUAACACAUGCAAGUCGAACGAUGAACCACUUCGGUGGGGAUUAGUGGCGAACGGGUGAGUAACACGUGGGCAAUCUGCCCUUCACUCUGGGACAAGCCCUGGAAACGGGGUCUAAUACCGGAUAACACUGCGGAUCGCAUGGUCUGCGGUUAAAAGCUCCGGCGGUGAAGGAUGAGCCCGCGGCCUAUCAGCUUGUUGGUGAGGUAAUGGCUCACCAAGGCGACGACGGGUAGCCGGCCUGAGAGGGCGACCGGCCACACUGGGACUGAGACACGGCCCAGACUCCUACGGGAGGCAGCAGUGGGGAAUAUUGCACAAUGGGCGAAAGCCUGAUGCAGCGACGCCGCGUGAGGGAUGACGGCCUUCGGGUUGUAAACCUCUUUCAGCAGGGAAGAAGCGAAAGUGACGGUACCUGCAGAAGAAGCGCCGGCUAACUACGUGCCAGCAGCCGCGGUAAUACGUAGGGCGCAAGCGUUGUCCGGAAUUAUUGGGCGUAAAGAGCUCGUAGGCAG
rnacentral:rRNA from 1 species